AUCCAGCUGAUGAGUUCCAAAUAGGACGAAUCGCGCGAUCUGGAU
rnacentral:hammerhead_ribozyme from 1 species